ensembl:lncRNA
GUGUUUCGGGUGUGUGUGUAGUGUGUGUGUGUAGUGUGUGUGUGUAGUGUGUGUGUGUGUAGUGUGUGUGUGUGUAGUGUGUGUGUAUGUGUGUGUAGUGUGUGUGUAGUGUGUGUGUGUAGUGUGUGUGUAGUGUGUGUGUGUAGUGUGUGUGUGUAGUGUGUGUGUGUGUGUAGUGUGUGUGUGUGUAGUGUGUGUGUGUAGUGUGUGUGUGUAGUGUGUGUGUAGUGUGUGUGUGUGUGUAGUGUGUGUGUAGUGUGUGUGUGUAGUGUGUGUGUGUAGUGUGUGUGUGUG